rnacentral:lncRNA from 1 species
GUUAGAGUGCUAGUAGCGGUGCGUUGAUUUCUAAGUGACUUUUCAGUUGCCUAGAGUGUAUCGACUUCCCUCUAUCCUUUCGUCUCGGCUUGAUCUGCGCUUUCUUGUUCUUGCUGGCCCUGUUGGGUUUUUUUCAAAACAAACACAGGAAAAAAAAAUGUAGAACGAUUCGGAUUUUACAUCACUAUGUUCCCUCUUGAGCCAAGUGGAAUCCGGUUUUAGAAUAUUUGGAGGAUCGACUUGGGCCAAUAACCAAGGCUUUGACGAUCGACAAUUGCCAAUAGUAAGUUUGCUCCUUUCGUUUUAUCUUAAAUAUAUCUGCCUCUCAUUUUAUAUACAAUUUCGUCUGCAUAUUACAGUAUCGAAACAUGUCACCAGCCAGUAGACAUGUACGAAAUUGCCACAUGUAGAUCUCUUUACUUACUGGCCAAGUGCUCACUUGCUUGUACCUAAUUGGAUGAAGAGCUUCAAAGUAUUUUAAUUGCACGAAGAAUGGCUGGUGGGUUUGCUAUAUUUUAGGAGUAGGAUUCUCACAAACCCCUCCUCUCAACACUUUUUUCUUUGUAUUUCUCUUUCUAAAAGUGAGACAACUAGUGGAAGUCACGGUUAUCCAUUCUUUCUUAGCCUGGAAAGACUAUGAGAAAUUUCAUCUUGUCCGUUGCCACAGUCAAGCAGACUUACCAGUUCGGAGCAUCGAACUUGAAACCUUCCACAUUUUUUUGUUUAUUAAGGAACCGCAGUCCGUAUCCUUACCACUGGAUUGUCACUAUUGGAAAGGAUUAGUACAUCCUUGUUUUUUUUAAUUCUAUUUUAAUUUUUUCUGGAUAUAUAGUGUGUGGUCAAGCCAUUAGUGGUAGGUCCGAUAGUGACCAAAAUCUAGCAAACCCGCCAGCCAUUCUUCAUGCAAUUAAAAUAUUUUGAAAUUCUUCAUUCAAUUAGGUACAAGCUACUGAUCAGCACUUCGCCAGCUCUAAGUACAGAGAUCUGUUUGGGCAAUUUCAUACAUUUCUACUGGCUGCAGGUGACAUGUUUUGAUAUUAUAAUAUGCAAACGAAAUUGUAUAUAAUACGAUAGGCAGAUAUACUUGAUAAUCGGUGUCUUUUGGCCUUCAACCACGAAUAUAUUUGUUCUCAAGUUAUUGGUCUCAUUUGUCUGUCAUUUUGUAUACAGAUGGAUAUUGUUCAAAGUUUCAGAUUGUUUGUAAUUUGGAAAGCAUCAAAUGGCUGUCAUUGUCCUUUUCCUUUGCGAGCUUCCACACAUCUCUACUGACAUAGUUGCUUAUAUG